UGGGGAAUAUUGGACAAUGGGCGAAAGCCUGAUCCAGCCAUGCCGCGUGUGUGAAGAAGGCCUUUUGGUUGUAAAGUUCUUUCGGUAUUGAGGAAGGUUGAUGUGUUAAUAGCACAUCAAAUUGACGUUAAAUACAGAAGAAGCACCGGCUAACUCCGUGCCAGCAGCCGCGGUAAUACGGAGGGUGCGAGCGUUAAUCGGAAUAACUGGGCGUAAAGGGCACGCAGGCGGUUAUUUAAGUGAGGUGUGAAAGCCCUGGGCUUAACCUAGGAAUUGCAUUUCAGACUGGGUAACUAGAGUACUUUAGGGAGGGGUAGAAUUCCACGUGUAGCGGUGAAAUGCGUAGAGAUGUGGAGGAAUACCGAAGGCGAAGGCAGCCCCUUGGGAAUGUACUGACGCUCAUGUGCGAAAGCGUGGGGAGCAAACAGGAUUAGAUACCCUGGUAGUCCACGCUGUAAACGCUGUCGAUUUGGGGGUUGGGGUUUAACUCUGGCGCCCGUAGCUAACGUGAUAAAUCGACCGCCUGGGGAGUACGGCCGCAAGGUUA
rnacentral:rRNA from 1 species